GGGUCAUUAGCUCAGCUGGUAGAGCACCAGACUCUUAAUCUGGGUGUCCAGGGUUCGAACCCCUGAUGACUCACGA
rnacentral:tRNA from 1 species